UACGAAGGGUGCAAGCGUUAAUCGGAAUUACUGGGCGUAAAGCGUGCGCAGGCGGUUGUGCAAGACCGAUGUGAAAUCCCCGGGCUUAACCUGGGAAUGGCAUCGGUGACUGCACGGCUAGAGUGUGUCAGAGGGGGGUAGAAUUCCACGUGUAGCAGUGAAAUGCGUAGAGAUGUGGAGGAAUACCGAUGGCGAAGGCAGCCCCCUGGGAUAACACUGACGCUCAGGCACGAAAGCGUGGGGAGCAAACAGG
rnacentral:rRNA from 1 species